rnacentral:lncRNA from 1 species
GGAAGAGGUUCUUCUUGUAAUGGAGAGACCAGUCCCCUGUGUGGACCUGCUCACUUACAUGAAGAUCAAUGGUGGGGCCCUGCAGGAGGACAUUGCUAAGGUACUGAAGCUGGGUGAAGGAAGGUUGUUUUUUUUAGUUUUAUGACUUUGAGGGGUAUUUAGACUAUUCCAGAGAAGCUGCAAAGAGUUUGUUUGUUUGAUAGCUACCACACUAACAGGAAUCAGGCUCUUCUUCAACUCUGUAAUUGUUUCUCUUUGUGUUUCAGAACAUCAUGAAACAGAUGGUAGAUGCAGCCAUACAAAUGCUUCGCAACGGUGUUUUCCAUCGAGACAUCAAAGUGGAAAACCUACUUGUUGAAACUGGCUCCCAUGAACAUCGUGUUAGAGUCAUUGACUUUGGCUGUGGCUGCUUGGUGCAAGAACAACCAUACUCUGAAUUCUCUGGUAUGGCAUUCGUCAUCUUCUCUUGAUUCAUCUGUUGAAUUGUGGAGUGAUGAUUUUUCAUAUUUAGUCUGACCCUGGUCCUAUUUAGUCUGACCCUGGUCCUCAUGCUUUCUUCCUGUCUUUGCUUUGGAGGAACCGAAGAUUUUGCUCCUCCAGAGUUUUUCACAGACGGGAGAUACGAGGCUGUCCCGACCACAGUCUGGCAGCUGGGAACACUGCUGUACGAAAUGUUGGAUGGAAAGCAACAGUUUAGCACCUCCAAGUUUCUCCGCCAGAGGGUUUCUUUCAAUAUUGAGAUGUCCCAAGACUGCAAGCAUUUUUUGCAGAUGUGCUUGACACGAAGGCCAGAGAAGCGAGCUACCUUGAAACUAAUUUAGGAGCACCCCUGGCUGCAGAAUCCAACCAAAAACAAACCUUGUGAGACCUAACGACAUGGGCCGGGGAGUGAAUAAGCCUUAUUCAGGGUUUGAAAUCAGCUAUUGUCUCCACCUGAUGCCCACUAAACAUUUGACAUCAGAUAGACCUGAUGAUGGUUAUAUUGGGUCUGUCUGUUCAUGACCAAUUCUGGACAUUUAUACGAAGCCCAAACUAGGUCCACAGUUUAGAUCUAGUGUAUUUAUUCAGUACAUGUGAGGGUUUUUUUGUGUGUUAUUUUUCAUUUUCCUGUUUUUCUUUAUUCAUUUAAAUAAAUUAACUCAUU